GGCCGGUUAGCUCAGUUGGUUAAAGCGCGAUGCUCGCAACACCAGGGUUGCGGGUUCGAUCCCCGCAUGGGCCA